rnacentral:sRNA from 1 species
AGAAAAUUUGUUUAUAUUCCCCCCUACCUGGCGCGCCAAUUGUUGAUUCUGUAAUCAAACAAUGAAUUUGUACUAAGGGAUUUAGACAAAUUCACUCCUCUCUUAGCUCACAAAUAAUCAAAGGGAGAGAACAAAGUUGCUUGAAUAAAAAGCUGGGGUUUGCUCUAUAAUUGUAGUCUCUUGUAUUCGGUUAAAGAUGAUCCUU